rnacentral:lncRNA from 1 species
GAACAAGAGGUUUUGGAUAGGUCGAUAUUUAGGUUGGGCCUUAGCACGAGCUUAGGAGAGAAUUUUGCAUAAGUUAGAGACUUUGGUAGUGCGUAGGCUUCAAUGCCAGUAGAGGAUUGCUUGAACUUGGAGAUGACAUAUUCAUUCUCAUAAAGGAAGACAAUGCGCCUUUGGUGGUUGAGUGCUACCUAGAGGAGAAACUUGGGGGGAUAUUGAAGACUCCGAAUGUUGGGGCACAACAUGAAGAGGUGGGCUUUUGAGAGGGCAGUGAGAGAGGACAUGAGCUUGGCAGAGAUGUUGGAGGCAAGGGCAUAAUGGAGGAGUGUUUUGUAGAUGGAAGGCGGAAGAGGACACUUUCUUCACCAAGGAUAUUGCUCGUCGAGUUAACACUCGUCUCCUUAGUCUUUCUUUGUUGGUUGUCGUGUGGUUUGGACGUGAAGAGGAGCUGAAGAUGAAUAGGCUUGGACUUCUUUCAUGUAUAAAUUUACUCUUCAUUUUAUCGACAGAUUUAGCAACAGACAAAUCUGUUGAUAAU